CCUACGGGAGGCAGCAGUAGGGAAUAUUGCUCAAUGGGGGAAACCCUGAAGCAGCAACGCCGCGUGGGGGAUGAAGGUUUUCGGAUUGUAAACUCCUUUUGUCAGAGAAGAUAAUGACGGUAUCUAACGAAUAAGCACUGGCUAACUCCGUGCCAGCAGCCGCGGUAAUACGGAGGGUGCAAGCGUUACUCGGAAUCACUGGGCGGAAAGAGCGCGUAGGCGGGAUAGCAAGUCAGAUGUGAAAUCCUAUGGCUUAACCAUAGAACUGCAUUUGAAACUGUUAUUCUAGAGUAUGGGAGAGGUAGGUGGAAUUCUUGGUGUAGGAGUAAAAUCCGUAGAGAUCAAGAGGAAUACUCAUUGCGAAGGCGACCUGCUAGAACAUAACUGACGCUGAUGCGCGAAAGCGUGGGGAGCAAACAGGAUUAGAUACCCCAGUAGUC
rnacentral:rRNA from 1 species